rnacentral:rRNA from 1 species
GGGGGCAGCAAUGUCACCGGCGAACGGGUGCGUAACGCGUAUGCAACCUACCUACAUCAGGGGGAUAGCCCUAGGAAACUGGGAUUAACACCGCAUAACAAUAGAGUUGGUAUCAACUUUAUUUGAAAUAUUUAUAGGAUGUAGAUGGGCAUGCGUAGGAUUAGCUAGUUGGUAAGGUAACGGCUUACCAAGGCUACGAUCCUUAGGGGCUCUGAGAGGAGUAUCCCCCACACUGGCACUGAGAUACGGGCCAGACUCCUACGGGAGGCAGCAGUAGGGAAUAUUGGGCAAUGGAGGCAACUCUGACCCAGCCAUGCCGCGUGCAGGAAGACGGUCCUCUGGAUUGUAAACUGCUUUUGAAUGGGAAGAAUGUGCUCCUUGCGAGGGGUAAUGACGGUACCAUUAGAAUAAGCCACGGCUAACUACGUGCCAGCAGCCGCGGUAAUACGUAGGUGGCGAGCGUUAUCCGGAUUUAUUGGGUUUAAAGGGUGCGUAGGCGGCUUAAUAAGUCGGUGGUUAAAAGUAGCAGCUUAACUGUUUUACAUGCCAUCGAUACUGUUGAGCUUGAGAUAUUUGGAGGCAGCUAGAAUUUCCGGUGUAGCGGUGAAAUGCAUAGAUACCGGAAGGAAUACCAAUUGCGAAGGCAGGUUGCUACGAAUAAACUGACGCUGAUGCACGAAAGCGUGGGGAUCAAACAGGAUUAGAUACCCUGGUAGUCCACGCCGUAAACGAUGAUUACUAGUUGUUGGGGUUUAAGCUUCAGUGACCAAGGGAAACCGAUAAGUAAUC